ACUCCUACGGGAGGCAGCAGUGGGGAAUAUUGCACAAUGGGCGCAAGCCUGAUGCAGCCAUGCCGCGUGUGUGAAGAAGGCCUUCGGUUGUAAAGCACUUUCAGUCGUGAGGAAGGUAGUGUAGUUAAUAGCUGCAUUAUUUGACGUUAGCGACAGAAGAAGCACCGGCUAACUCCGUGCCAGCAGCCGCGGUAAUACGGAGGGUGCGAGCGUUAAUCGGAAUUACUGGGCGUAAAGCGCAUGCAGGUGGUUUGUUAAGUCAGAUGUGAAAGCCCGGGGCUCAACCUCGGAAUAGCAUUUGAAACUGGCAGACUAGAGUACUGUAGAGGGGGUAGAAUUUCAGGUGUAGCGGUGAAAUGCGUAGAGAUCUGAAGGAAUACCGGUGGCGAAGGCGGCCCCCUGGACAGAUACUGACACUCAGAUGCGAAAGCGUGGGGAGCAAACAGGAUUAGAUACCCUGGUAGAUAGCG
rnacentral:rRNA from 1 species